CGGGAGGCAGCAGUAGGGAAUCUUCCGCAAUGGACGAAAGUCUGACGGAGCAACGCCGCGUGAGUGAUGAAGGUUUUCGGAUCGUAAAGCUCUGUUGUUAGGGAAGAACAAGUACCGUUCGAAUAGGGCGGUACCUUGACGGUACCUAACCAGAAAGCCACGGCUAACUACGUGCCAGCAGCCGCGGUAAUACGUAGGUGGCAAGCGUUGUCCGGAAUUAUUGGGCGUAAAGGGCUCGCAGGCGGUUUCUUAAGUCUGAUGUGAAAGCCCCCGGCUCAACCGGGGAGGGUCAUUGGAAACUGGGGAACUUGAGUGCAGAAGAGGAGAGUGGAAUUCCACGUGUAGCGGUGAAAUGCGUAGAGAUGUGGAGGAACACCAGUGGCGAAGGCGACUCUCUGGUCUGUAACUGACGCUGAGGAGCGAAAGCGUGGGGAGCGAACAGGAUUAGAUACCCUGGUAGUCCACGCCGUAAACGAUGAGUGCUAAGUGUUAGGGGGUUUCCGCCCCUUAAUGCUGCAGCUAACGCAUUAAGCACUCCCGCCUGGGGAG
rnacentral:rRNA from 1 species